rnacentral:lncRNA from 1 species
AGAUUGUUGCGUUUGUCUGGCUCCGCACUCUGGCACUAAGGGGCACCUCUGCCAGGUUAAAGGUGGCAGAAACUCUGAGGAAGUCCAACUCGAGAGGCAGGUUCUUCUUCGCUUCAUCCACCAGCCACAUGAAUUCAAAAUCUGGGAAAAGUUGCUUCACGGCCAGGACAAGCACCUGAAAGCCACCAAGCAACCUGUCAGCCAGUCAGCCCACGGCCCCCACCACGGAAGGUACAUGUCCUACCCCGCUGGGGGAUGAUUCUGUGCGCUGUGUAUUCAGAUGCUGAUUACUGGGCCCAGAGAUCAGGUCGCAGCCCUGACAGGCAUUGCCAAGCAUCUCCUGUCUUACUUUCAUGUAAAAAUUGUUUUCUGUCACCUCUGGUUGGUUAAUAAAGAGCUGAGCAGCCAAUAGCUGGACGGGAGAGAAGAGAUGAGACUUCCGAUCCCAGUGAGGGGGAUCCUGGGUGGAGGAAGGAGAGGAGGGAGGUCACCAUGAAGAAGUUGCCAUGAGAGGCUACGAGAGACAGAGACACCAUGGAAAGGACGGACGGAGCAGGAG